AGUGAAAAUUCUGGGUCACACUGUAACUUAACUUUUUGAGGAACUGCCAAACUGUUUUCUAAAGUGUCUGUAUCACUAUGUUCCCACCAGUAAU
rnacentral:pre_miRNA from 1 species